rnacentral:lncRNA from 10 species
GAGUCCAUUGCUCUGGCCCGGCGGGCGGGGACACGACUGGGAGACAGAGAGACCCAGGGUGCCACUUUUGGGAGGGGAUCUUAUUAAAGGACUCCGGAAGCCCCUCGUUAAAGCAGAAAACUAAACUUAACAAGUUCGCUGUCCUCACUGCUCAGUUCUCUCUUCCCAGUGGUUCUCCUUCUGGAAAAAGUCACUAUUGAGCUAGUCUAGCCUGAUGGAAUAGCCUCUCUGAUCAGUUUCGAUCUUUGAAAUGCUAUUAUCAGCCUUUAAGUUAUUCUUGACUUUUCCUACCGUAAGUUGAGGAAGACCACAUUCUCUCAACUACCCAUAAUUAAUUUUUCUUAAUUGUGGUAAAAUACACAUAACGUAAAACUUACCAUCUUAACUGUUUCCAAGUGUAGUUCUGUGGCACCAAGUACAUUCACAUUCUUGUGCAACCACCAACCGUCUCCAGGACUUUUUCAUCUUCUCAAAUGGAAACUCCAUACCCAGUAAACACUAGCUCCCCAUUCUUUCCUCCUCCUAGCCUUUGGCAUUCACUAUUCGUCUCUAAAUUAGACUACUCUAAGGACAUCGUAUAAGUGGAAUCAUACAUUAUAUGUCUUUUUGUGACAGUCUUACUUUAGUUAGCACAGUGUCCUCACUUCCAUCCAUGUUGUGGCAUGUGUCAGAAUUUCUUUCUUUCUUUCUUUCUUUCUUUCUUUCUUUCUUUCUUUCUUUCUUUCCUUUCUCUCUCUCUUUCUUUCUUUCUUUCUUUCCUUCCUUCUUUCCUUCCUUCUUCCCUCCCCUUCCCUUCCCUUCUUUUUUUUGACGGAGUCUCACUCUGUCGCCAGGCUGGAGUGCAGUGGUGCAAUCUCGGCUCACUGCAACCUCCACCUCCCAGGUUCAAGCGAUUCCCCUGCCUCAGCCUCCUGAGUAGCUGAGACUACAGGGGCACGCCACCACGCCUGGCUAAUUUUUUUGUGUGUGUGUUUUAGUAGAGACGGGGUUCAUCAUGUUGGCCAGGAUGGAAUCGAUCUCCUGACCUCGUGAUCCGCCUGCCUGGGCCUCCCAAAGUGUUGGGAUUACAGGCGUGAGCCACGGCGCCCAGCCCCUUCUUUCUUAUGGCUGAAUAAUAUUCCAUUGUAUGCAUAUUCCACAUUUAAGUUAUCCAUUCAUCUAUCAAUGGAUACUCCACAAUUAAUUUUUGACAUUGUUGAAAUUUCUUCCCUGAAGGCCGCCUCUGAACUCUGUGCUCUAUUUCUUUUGGGAAUCAUUCGUUCAUUGAACAAAUAUGGCAGGCCUGCUGUACAACAGUCCCUGGUCUGGGGUCUGUGAACACUGGUCUGUCCCCAGGAACCAGGAGAAUAAGGCCCCUCCAUCCAUACAGCAAGCAUGUUAGAGGGGACAAACAGAAGGAAAUGAGUUAACAGGUAACAGUGUGUCUGUCAGAAAGAGUGUUAGGAAGAAAACUAAAUCAGGGCCAGAGAAUGGGGAGGGAGUGAUGAGGUAUGAGGGACGGAUUCUCUGUGGAGCUGGCCCUGAAGAAGAGACCCAAAUGAAGGGGGAGGCAGGCACCAGGGGACCCUGACCAUUCCUCUGUCUCGGAAGAGGCUGCAUGUAUGGGGGAGUUGCAGGCAGGUUUGUGGAGGAUGCUGGAAGUGGCCACGCCAAGCAUCCCAGGUGCCCCCAGGGCAGGCAUCUCUCUCACCUCCUAACUGCUUCAAUAAUUCCUGCCCUGC